rnacentral:tRNA from 1 species
CGAGACGUAGCUUAAACAAAAGCAUUCAGCUUACACCUGAAAAAUGUCUGCCAACACCAGAUCGUCUCGA